rnacentral:rRNA from 1 species
CAGUCGCCGCGGGAAUACGUAGGGUGCGAGCGUUAAUCGGAAUUACUGGGCGUAAAGCGAGCGCAGACGGUUACUUAAGCAGGAUGUGAAAUCCCCGGGCUCAACCUGGGAACUGCGUUCUGAACUGGGUGACUAGAGUGUGUCAGAGGGAGGUAGAAUUCCACGUGUAGCAGUGAAAUGCGUAGAGAUGUGGAGGAAUACCGAUGGCGAAGGCAGCCUCCUGGGAUAACACUGACGUUCGUGCUCGAAAGCGUGGGUAGCAAACAGGAUUAGAUACCCCUGUAGUCCCUGUCUCUUAUAC